GCACCAGUAGUCUAGUGGUAUGACUCGGCCUUGCCAAGGCCGUGGCCCGGGUUCAAUUCCCGGCUGGUGCA
rnacentral:tRNA from 1 species